rnacentral:rRNA from 1 species
GUUGUCCGGAUUUAUUGGGCGUAAAGAGCGUGUAGGCGGCCAGGUAGGUCAGCUGUGAAAACUCGAGGCUCAACCUCGAGACGUCGGUUGAAACCACCUGGCUAGAGUCCGGAAGAGGAGAGUGGAAUUCCUGGUGUAGCGGUGAAAUGCGCAGAUAUCAGGAAGAACACCCGUGGCGAAGGCGGCUCUCUGGGACGGUACUGACGCUGAGACGCGAAAGCGUGGGGAGCGAACAGG